rnacentral:tRNA from 1 species
GGUGGAUGUAGUUCAGCUGGUUAGAAUGUCGGAUUGUGGUUCCGAAGGUCGCCGGUUCGAGUCCGGUCUUCCACCC